GACGAACGCUGGCGGCGUGCUUAACACAUGCAAGUCGAACGGAAAGGCCCUGCUUUUGUGGGGUGCUCGAGUGGCGAACGGGUGAGUAACACGUGAGUAACCUGCCCUUGACUUUGGGAUAACUUCAGGAAACUGGGGCUAAUACCGGAUAGGAGCUCCUGCUGCAGGGGGGGGGUUGGAAAGUUUCGGCGGUUGGGGAUGGACUCGCGGCUUAUCAGCUUGUUGGUGGGGUAGUGGCUUACCAAGGCUUUGACGGGUAGCCGGCCUGAGAGGGUGACCGGCCACAUUGGGACUGAGAUACGGCCCAGACUCCUACGGGAGGCAGCAGUGGGGAAUAUUGCACAAUGGGCGGAAGCCUAAUGCAGCAACGCCGCGUGCGGGAUGACGGCCUUCGGGUUGUAAACCGCUUUCGCCUGUGACGAAGCGUGAGUGACGGUAAUGGGUAAAGAAGCACCGGCUAACUACGUG
rnacentral:rRNA from 1 species